rfam:Paenibacillus sp. TCA20 DNA, contig: PspTCA2nb02.
CGGGCAUCCCUGCAAGCCCUUAUCGUGGCAGGACUCGAUCAUGCUGUGGGACAAGCUCCUUAGCGUAAAGCGCAAGGGUAUGAUGCGGGGAAGGCAGGUAAAAUAACUGCCCU